CCUACGGGUGGCAGCAGUGGGGAAUAUUGGACAAUGGGCGAAAGCCUGAUCCAGCCAUGCCGCGUGUGUGAAGAAGGCCUUCGGGUUGUAAAGCACUUUCAGUGGGGAAGAAAGCCUUGGGGCUAAUACCCUCGAGGAAGGACAUCACCCACAGAAGAAGCACCGGCUAACUCCGUGCCAGCAGCCGCGGUAAUACGGAGGGUGCGAGCGUUAAUCGGAAUUACUGGGCGUAAAGCGCGCGUAGGCGGUCUGAUAAGCCGGUUGUGAAAGCCCCGGGCUCAACCUGGGAACGGCAUCCGGAACUGUCAGGCUAGAGUGCAGGAGAGGAAGGUAGAAUUCCCGGUGUAGCGGUGAAAUGCGUAGAGAUCGGGAGGAAUACCAGUGGCGAAGGCGGCCUUCUGGACUGACACUGACGCUGACGUGCGAAAGCGUGGGUAGCAAACAGGAUUAGAUACCCGAGUAGUC
rnacentral:rRNA from 1 species